rnacentral:tRNA from 1 species
GCCCUGGUGGCGGAAUCGGUAGACGCGCUAGUUUCAGGUACUAGUGAGCUUUUGCUCUUGGAAGUUCGAGUCUUCUCCUGGGCACCA